rnacentral:rRNA from 1 species
GACGAACGCUGGCGGCGUGCUUAACACAUGCAAGUCGAACGGAAAGGCCCUGCUUUUGUGGGGUGCUCUAGUGGCGACCGGGUGAGUAACACGUGAGUUACCUGCCCUUGACUUUGGGAUAACUUAAGGACACUGGGGCUAAUACCGGAUAGGAGCUCCUGCUGCUUGGUGGGGGUUGGAAAGUUUCGGCGGUUGGUGAUGGACUCGCGGCUUAUCAGCUUGUUUGUGAGGUAGUGGAUUACCAAGGCUUUGACGGGUAGCCGGCCUGAGAGGGGGGCCGGCCACAUUAGGACUGAGAUGCGGCCCAGACUCCUACGGGAGGCAGCAGUGGGGAAUAGUGCACAGUGGGCGGAGGCCUGAUGCAGCAACGCCGCGUGGGGGAUGACGGGCUUCGGGUUGUAAACCGCUGUCGCCUGUGACGAAGCGUGAGUGACGGUAAUGGGUAAAGAAGCACCGGCUAACUACGUG